UUUUUUAUAUAAAUAUUAACAGUGGCAUCAGAUUAUAAGAGAUGGGAGUGAUACAUUCUUCUGUGGUUUUCAUUGGGUCUGAUGGUUUGUCUCAGCCCCAGAUGACACAAGAGUCUAUUCCCAUCUCUCUCUCUAUCUCUCUCUCUCUCUGGGAGAAGUUCUUGUCUUCUCCUGCCUUAUUCUUGCUCUUGACCACUUGCUGUCCCUCUGAGUGUACUGUGAUACUUUCAUAUAUAUAUAAUUUUUUCCCAUUUCCAGGCCCUGUGCUCUAAUGUCAAAAAAGAUAUUCUGUUUAUAGAAGGCUUUUUGUUGUCUUUUUUUGUCACCUUUUUAAAAAUGUACAGUUAUAUUAUUUAAAAAAUAUUUUCUUGUCCACUAGUGUUACUUCCUUUUUUUUUUUUUUUUGUAAUAUGCCAUAUUGAAAUCUUUCUUUUUCUGACAUUACCGAUUUAUUAUAGCAGUGGUUUCCAGUCCUGGUCCUGGGGACCCAGAGCCCUGUACAUUUUGUGUCUUCCUUAUUUAACACAUCUGAUUCAGAUCAUUAGCUCAUUAUCAGAGCUCUAUGAGAGACAAACAAAAUGUGCAGUACUGUGGGUUCCCAGGGCCCGAAUUGAAAACCACUGUACUACACCACAUGGCGUUUGGUUUGUGAAGUAUGUUAUAGUGCUUUCCUUUGAUUUAAUAUAAACAAAUAAAACUCUUUACUGUCUCAGA